rnacentral:rRNA from 1 species
UUUAAAGAGCCGCGGUAUUUUGACCGUGCAAAGGUAGCAUAAUCAUUAGUUUCUUAAUUGGGGGCUGGAAUGAAUGGUUUCACGAAAAAUUAACUGUCUCUUAAUAAUUUUUAGAAUUUAACUUUUAAGUUAAAAGGCUUAAAUUUUUCUUUAGGACGAGAAGACCCUAUAGAGCUUAACAUUUAUUUUAUAUAUUUUAUUUAGUUAAUCUUUUUAUAUUAAAUUUUAAUGUUUUGUUGGGGUGACAUGAAGAAUUAAUAAACUCUUCAUUAUAAAAUCAUUGAUUUAUGUUUAAUUGAUCCAUAAUUUAUGAUCAAAAGAUUAAGUUACCUUAGGGAUAACAGCGUAAUUAUUUUUGAGAGCUCAUAUCGACAAAAUAGAUUGCGACCUCGAUGUUGGAUUAAGAUUAGUUUUAGGUGUAGUAGCUUAAUUAUUAGGUCUGUUCGACCUUUAAAUUCUUACG